rnacentral:tRNA from 1 species
GGGGGUGUAGCUCAGCUGGGAGAGCACCUGCUUUGCACGCAGGGGGUCAGGAGUUCGAAUCUCCUCAUCUCCA